rnacentral:lncRNA from 1 species
CAGGACUGCCACUCAGAGCUAGUUCACCCUUGCUGCCGCCAUUCGAACCCAGAGCUCCUGGCCCAAACAGUCUGGAAUGUUCUGUACUGUGCUUCUAGGACAGUGACUUGCCAGGCCAACUCUGGGCUGGGGCUGUCUUGGCUCUGUCAGGAGGGCCUCUCCUCAGGCUUUCUCUCAGGACUCGUGGCUUUGUUCCCGCUGGCCCAGGCGAUAACCUCAGCAUUUUUACUGGAGCCUGGGGCUAGGUUUUUAAACAAACUCAAUGUAACUUGUGUACUCUGCAAUCCAAGCCGACACCCUCAUAAACUAUCCCUGCAGGUUAUUAAAUGAUUAAAGAUCUCAUUUAUGAACUGUCCAUUUUCGAGCAGCCUGAGACAGACGCUUUCACGAUUGCUCUGACCUGCUGCUCUCUCUAGUGAGAGAGAGAGAGCAGAGUGUCCCUGACAUUCUGGAAGCUGAGCCACAGAUUCAGUGCAUCUCACUGAAGGCGAGGCACUUAGCUUAAGCUGUCUCCUAUGACCAGGCUCCAGGAUUCAAUAUUUACAUCUCCCUGGAGUUUCAGAAGGUCAUCUGGGGACAUUUUUCUUGGCAAGACCUGGUGGUUUCCUCAGUCCCAGCUGUGAGUGAGAAGCCGUUUUUACCUUGAAGCUGUGUUCAGGGGGGAGUUCUGUUGUGAGUCCCUCCCAGCUCCUUUUCUUGGUUGUCCUUGUACCAUCCAGUAACUUCAGAGGGCCCCUUUUUGCCCAGCUGCAUUUAGCUUUGGAUUUCAGACAGUGAAGCCCCUCCUGCAUAAGCUAAGAUUGUUUCAGUGGAGCUCACACCCUGGCAGUUCACCCAUGAGCCCAGCAGAUACGUUUCAUGUGGCCUAUGCAGUGUUUGUGAAAUGUUUGAACAAGUUGCUGACAUCUAGACAUCAGGACAUUUCUUUCUUUCUUUCUUUUUUUGAGAUGGAGUUUCUCUCUUGUUGCCCAGGCUGGAGUGCAACGGCCCAAUCUCAGCUCACUGCAACCUCCGCCUCCCGGGUUCAAGCAAUUCUCCUGCCUCAGCCUCCUGAGUAGCUGGGAUUACAGGCAUGUGCCACCACACCCACCUAAUUUUUGUCUUUUUAGUAGAGAUGGGGUUUCGCCAUGUUGGUCAGGCUGGUCUUAAACUCCAGACCUCAGGUGAUCCACCUGCCUCCGCCUCCCAAAGUGCUGGGAUUACAGGCGUGAGCCAUUGUGUCCUGCCAAAAUCAGGACGUUUCGUACAAGGAUCUGAGUUCUGAGCCUGUCUUGAGAAAAGGGAAGACUGCAGACAACACCUUGCAGCAGUGGUGGCCGCGGGUGGAGGGGCUGCCUCCCCAGGGUGUUUGCUGGCCAAGCAUUUCACCCUCACCUGGCUCAUCGCAGCCGCUCUGUCCUGCUGGGGCUUUCCAAGGCCUUUCCCAUCUGUGGGCAGCCAAUGUGCUGUCCCCCAAGCCCAACCGCGAUCAUCAGAGACUGGGCUCCCCCUGCAGCUCCUGCCCGCAGGGUCCCAGCCUGGAGAGCUGACAGGCGAGGCUUGAUGUGGCCACCUCAGUAAACCUCUGGCUCUCCUCCCUCCUGGAAGGCUGAAGCUGGGACUCAGUCUUUCCCAGCUCCUGUGCCUCUACACUGGGUGUGCUUUUAUGGCUUUAAUUUCAACAAGGGCUUCUUGAUAUCUUGUUUACGAAGCUGCCAAAGUGAAAAAUUCCUGUAUUAUAUGCGGCUCGAAGUCCUGCAGUUAUCUCAGCUCCACAACACACAACAUCAUUAUCCUGGCUGCCCCUUAUCACUCAGUGCUGGUACGCCUGCAGGAUCCUGGUCCACCGUGUUACAGCAUCCCCGCCGCCAGCCUGCCUCCCCUCCAACUCUACCAAGAUCUUCAAACUGCAACAAGCGUCAGCCUCUUCUUGAUAGAUUAGAUAUCUCCCGGUGAUGUUAUGAGGCCUGGUAAAUCUUUAAAAGUAACUGUUUUGAUUUAUUUAACCAUCAUAUUUAUCAAGCAAAUAAAAAAUGUCCCUUCUUGCCUGAGUGCUUGUAGGCAGUAGUGCCCAUGCUGGAGAGGAAGGUUAGAGCCCUUGCAGGAGCCCCGGGUAGGUUAGAAGAGGCCCCAGUUCUCUGCCUGGGGACAGGGGACGGGAGGACAUGGAGGCAAGAGUGAGCCACUUGGGAAGCUGCAUACCUCCUUGGGCACCAGCCACACUUGAGUCAGUUGAAUACAGCACACUGGCCGUGAUGCUAUUCAUGCAUACUGCAGGGCCGCACAUGCCUCCUGGAGGGUGCCGGGCCGGCAGUGCUGGGCAGGCGUUGGCUCCCUGCCCACCAACCCAGGUCUCAGUUUCUCUUAUGCUGCACAGUGAGAAAUCUGAGCAACAUUGUCUUUAAAGCACUUUAGAAAUGGGGCACUUGAGGUCAGUCACCGUUGAUCAUGUUUUUUAUCCUUUAAAAGAUCAUUAAAAUCCGUGCCCAGACGGAAGGAAUCAACAUCAGUGAGGAGGCACUGAACCACCUGGGGGAGAUUGGCACCAAGACCACACUGAGGUGAGCUGGUACCCUGGGCCCGCCGGGGCCUCCCCAGCACAGCCAGGGCCCUCGCUGGGGUCAUUCUGGACAAUAAAGGCAGGUCCCUUCCUAGGGCAUGGGACUCUAUCCAUCCGCUCUUCCUGGCGCGAUGGGUGCCAGGGCACUUGAGUUUCAAAUGCAGAGGAUCUAUCUGAUGGUUUUUAACAAGCUAGAGUAAGGGUGAAGUCCCCAUGUCCUGCAGCAGAUGCUCCCCUCUGGUGGAGAGUGCUUUGACCCUGGGCCUUCUUGUGGCAGAGAAGAUGCACAGAACUAGAGAGCAGGGACCAUGUGGUAGCUCAUUAGCCAGGGCCCUGGCUCCUGUUCUCCCGGUGGUGUUAUGAGGCCUGGUAAAUCUUUAACUUUUUUGAUUUAUUUAACCAUCAAGCAAAUAAAAAAUGUCUGGGUGGUGGAUAUGGAGAGCCAGGGAGGAGCGCAGACAUAGACAGUUCUCCUAAUUGUUCUCCAGCGGCUCAAACACAGGACCGGCAGAGCAUGUCCCUUCACAGUGGCCUGACUCAUUGUAAAAUCAUUGCUUCACAGUCCUCAGCCCUUCCCUACAUCCCUUGAGUCAGUUCUUGCUCCUGAGGUUGAAGGCAGAAAUGCAAGCUGUGAGGUUUGGAUGAAGGGGUACUUUUUAAAACGGCAGAGUCUUCAUGCCUUUGGAUGGGCAUGUACUUCCAGCUGGCUAUGUUUUCAUUUCCCUGCCAUGUUAAAUAUCCCUAUCUGUCGGACACCUGUAUACAUAUAAGUUUGCAGUCCUUUUCCAGUAGCAGUGACAUUACUUCCUACUGGAGGAUUUGUAGACUGUACUAAAGAUUUGGGGAAUAGCACUUAUGUCUUCUUGGUGGCUCCUGGACCCUCUCUGAUGGGAUAAUGACUGCAGCUCUCUGAGAAGUGACAACUUUGUCUCCCCUUUUCUGUGUUCGUAGCAGCUGGCACAAGCCCAGCACUGGGCUCUGCUCCUGGUGCCAGUGCUGCCUACUGAUGUGGGGGGAAGGUGCUUUCUUCGGUGGCCCCAGUUUCACUCCAGCCCUGGCCCCUGUCCACUCUAGGUACUCAGUGCAGCUGCUGACCCCGGCCAACUUGCUUGCUAAAAUCAACGGGAAGGACAGCAUUGAGAAAGAGCAUGUCGAAGAGAUCAGUGAACUUUUCUAUGAUGCCAAGUCCUCCGCCAAAAUCCUGGCUGACCAGCAGGAUAAGUACAUGAAGUGAGAUGGCUGAGGUUUUCAGCAGUAAGAGACUCCCCAGGUGUGCCUGGCCUGGGUCCAGCCUGUGGGCGCUUGCCCCUGGGCUUGGGGCUGCCGUCCCCACUCAGGCGUGGUCUGCAGCGCUGUCAGUUCAGUGUGGAAAGCAUUUCUUUUUAAGUUAUCGUAACUGUUCCUGUGGUUGCUUUGAAAGAACCCUUCCUUACCUGGUGUGUUUUCUAUAAAUCUUCAUAGGUUAUUUUGAUUCUCUCUCUCUCUCUCUCUAAGUUUUUUAAAAAUAAACUUUUCAGAACAGU